rnacentral:rRNA from 1 species
GGAAUAACCGUGGGAAACCAUGGCUAAUACCGCAUAUGUCUUUCGAGAUGAAGCAGCAAUGCGCCAGAGGAGCAGCCUGCGGCCGAUUAUUUAGUCCUAGUUGGUGAGGUAAUGGCUCACCAAGGGUACGAUCGGUAGCUGGUCUGAGAGGAUGAUCAGCCACACUGGAACUGAGACACGGUCCAGACUCCUACGGGAGGCAGCAGUGGGGAAUAUUGCGCAAUGGGCGAAAGCCUGACGCAGCCACGCCGCGUGAGUGAUGAAGGCCUUAGGGUUGUAAAGCUCUUUCGUCAGGGAAGAUAAUGACGGUACCUGAAGAAGAAGCCCCGGCUAACUUCGUG